CCUACGGGAGGCAGCAGUGAGGAAUAUUGGUCAAUGGGCGCGAGCCUGAACCAGCCAAGUCGCGUGAAGGAUGACUGCCCUACGGGUUGUAAACUUCUUUUGUAAGGGAAUAAAGUGAGGCACGUGUGCCUGUUUGUAUGUACUUUAUGAAUAAGGAUCGGCUAACUCCGUGCCAGCAGCCGCGGUAAUACGGAGGAUCCGAGCGUUAUCCGGAUUUAUUGGGUUUAAAGGGAGCGUAGGUGGGUUGUUAAGUCAGUUGUGAAAGGUUGGGGCUCAACCGUAAAACUGCAAUUGAUACUGGCAGCCUUGAGUACAGUUGAGGUAGGCGGAAUGCGUGGUGUAGCGGUGAAAUGCAUAGAUAUCACGAAGAACUCCGAUUGCGAAGGCAGCUUACUAAACUGCCACUGACAUUGAGGCUCGAAAGUGUGGGUAUCAAACAGGAUUAGAUACCCCGGUAGUC
rnacentral:rRNA from 1 species